UACAGAGGUCCCGAGCGUUGUUCGGAUUCACUGGGCGUAAAGGGUGCGUAGGUGGUGAGGAAAGUCGGAUGUGAAAUCUCCGGGCUUAACCCGGAAACUGCAUUGGGAACUACCUUGCUAGAGGUUUUGAGGGGGGACUGGAAUUCUCGGUGUAGCAGUGAAAUGCGUAGAUAUCGAGAGGAACACCAGUGGCGAAGGCGAGUCCCUGGAAAACACCUGACACUGAGGCACGAAAGCUAGGGGAGCAAACAGG
rnacentral:rRNA from 1 species